GUAGUGUUGUCUCUCUUUAUGUAGUGUUGUCUCUCUUUAUGUAGUGUUGUCUCUCUUUAUGUAGUGUUGUGUUGUCUCCCUUUAUGUAGUGUUGUGUUGUCUCUCUUUAUGUAGUGUUGUGUUGUCUCUCUUUAUGUAGUGUUGUCUCUCUUUAUGUAGUGUAGUGUUGUCUCUCUUUAUGUAGUGUUGUGUUGUCUCUCUUUAUGUAGUGUUGUGUUGUCUCUUUAUGUAGUGUGUUGUGUUGUCUCUCUUUAUGUAGUGUUGUCUCUUUAUGUAGUGUUGUGUUGUCUCUCUUUAGGUCGUGUUGUCUCUUUAUGUAGUGUAGUGUUGUCUCUAUGUAGUGUUGUCUCUCUUUAUGUAGUGUUGUGAUGUCUCUAUUUAUGUAGUGUUGUUGUCUCUC
ensembl:lncRNA